GACGAACGCUGGCGGCGUGCUUAACACAUGCAAGUCGAACGAAGUGGCGAACGGGUGAGUAAAGCGUAAUCAACCUGCCCUUCAGAGGGGGACAAUAGUGGGAAACGACUGCUAAUACCGCCUACUGAAGGAGGUGUUUGCGUGUGAUUAGCUUGUUGGAGGGGGAACGGCCCACCAAGGAGAGGAUCAGUAGCCGGUCUGAGGGGAUGAACGGCCAAAUUGGGAAUGAGACACUGCCCAGACUGCUACGGGGGGCAGCAGUGGGGAAUCAUCCGAAAUGGACGAAAGUCGUACGGAGCAACGCCGCGUGAGUGAUGACGGCCUUCGGGUUGUAAAGCUCUGUUAAUCGGGACGCGUUACCGGAAGAGAAAGCCACGGCUAACUACGUGCCAGCCGCCGCGGUAAUAC
rnacentral:rRNA from 1 species